GUUCUGUUGUACGUGCGGAGGGAGACCGAGGAGGUGUUUGACGCCCUCAUGUUGAAGACGCCGGACCUGAAGGGGCUGAGGAACGCGAUCUCUGAGAAGUAUGGGUUCCCUGAAGAGAACAUUUACAAAGUCUACAAGAAAUGUAAGCGGGGAAUCUUGGUCAACAUGGACAACAACAUCAUCCAGCACUACAGCAACCACGUGGCCUUCCUGCUGGACACGGGGGAGCUCGACGGCAAGAUUCAGAUCAUCCUGAAGGAGCUGUAAGGCCCAAGCCUCCGCACCCUCGGACCCCUUGGGGUAGGCUCCCGGCAAGGGGCCCCCCUGGGAAGUGGCCCCGGGCCACACACCACCUCUCCUCGUGCCCCCGUGCUGUUACUUGAAUGCCCUCCCUGAGAGAAGAGGCCCUCACGUCCCAGACCCACAGAUGCCAAGGUCAGGAAGGGACCCAGGAGGUAUCCCGACCUGAGCCCCAUCUCGGGCUUGAAUCGCCUCUGGACUUCCUGCCCGCCCCUGCCCGGCCAGAGACGGUGGCUCAUAGCCGGUCUCCUGCUCCGAAGACCGUGUGUUCAGUCUGUCUCCUGGCUCCCCAUUCGGACCGUGGAAGUGGACCCCUGGCCAGCUUCCGUUCUUGAUUCCUCCACCAACUUCACACCAAGAAUCCCGAGGAUCCCUUGCCCUUUGGCCAAUGAACUUGAAAACGCUCUUGAUUUUCAAUGCAAGCAGUUUUAAAUGCUACCAUAGUGGGAACUCUCUGUCCCACGGAUUUCCUCAAUCCAAGUUGUAAAUAAUAGAGCUGAUUGAUUGGAACAUGCCUGUUCACCGAUGUACACAUUUCUUAUUUACAAUUUUCAUUUAUGUUAUAUAUAA